UCCAUUUGAAAUCUGGCCCUUCCGGGGUCCGAGUUGUAAUUUGUACAGGACGUUUCGGGUGCGGCGCCGGUCUAAGUCCCUUGGAACAGGGCGUCAUAGAGGGUGAGAAUCCCGUAUGUGACCGGCGACCAACCCCAUGUGAAACCCCUUCGACGAGUCGAGUUGUUUGGGAAUGCAGCUCAAAAUGGGUGGUAAAUUUCAUCUAAAGCUAAAUACUGGCCAGAGACCGAUAGCGCACAAGUAGAGUGAUCGAAAGAUGAAAAGCACUUUGGAAAGAGAGUCAAACAGUACGUGAAAUUGUUGAAAGGGAAGCGCUUGCAACCAGACCUGUCCGCGGGCAUCAGCCUCCGUUCUCGGUGGUGUACUUGUCCGCGAUCAGGCCAGCAUCGGUUCGGGCGGUCGGAUAAAGGCUUCGGGAAUGUAGCUUCCUCCGGGGAGUCUUAUAGCCCGUUGCGCAAUGCGGCCAGCCUGGACCGAGGACCGCGCUUCGGCUAGGAUGCUGGCGUAAUGGUUGUAAGCGACCCGUCUUGAAACACGGACCAAGGAGUUGAAUAUCUAUGCGAGUGUUUGGGUGUCAAACCCAUACGCGUAAUGAAAGUGAACGGAGGUGAGAACCCUUUAGGGCGCAUCAUCGACCGAUCCAGAUGUCUUCGGAUGGAUUUGAGUACGAGCAUAGCUGUUCUGACCCGAAAGAUGGUGAACUAUACUUGAAUAGGGUGAAGCCAGAGGAAACUCUGGUGGAGGCUCGCAGCGGUUCUGACGUGCAAAUCGAUCGUCAAAUUUGGGUAUAGGGGCGAAAGACUAAUCGAACCAUUGGUGACGGGCGCUACUAGGUGGUUAAUUUGGGGUAACCUUCCGGGGUCCCCUGAGUCCUUCGGGGCGACACUGCUAUCUGCGUGGACGCCCGGGGUGUCCCCCCGGGCCGACAUGCUGCGGGCCUGACUCCUCUGAGCGGGCGCCGUACACAGACCAAAUGGUGGUGGCCG
rnacentral:rRNA from 1 species